ACUUUCAUGUAAAUUUUUAUAUUAAUAAUUCUUUGUUAAAUUAUUUUAUUAUUUUGAUAAAAUUUAUUAAUUUGGUUGUUGAAGUGAACGGUUUUUAACGUUUCAAUAAAAAUUUAGGGUGCGUUUAUGAAAUAACCCGCAAAAUUAUUUUAAAAAAUUUUCAUUUAAAAAUCUAAAUAUUAAUUUUAACCAAUAAUAUUAAAGACCUUAUGUCACGACCCAAUUCCAUGGGCCGGACCGGCACUAGGGCCCAGGUAAGCUUAAGGCCCCCGAGGCCCGUAGUAAGCCUGAAACACUAGAAUCUAUUAUCUCAGUAUAAAUUUCAACAUUCAGGCCAUAUGAUAAUGAAAAAUAACCUCAAUAUUUUAUUAUUUCUCGGCCCAAGUUUAUCUUCUACAGCAUUCCAUAGUUCGGGCCCAAUUUACAAUACAUCACAUUUCUAACAUGAGCUUACAGAAUUAUUUUGUCUAUGUUAAUACACGACUAAAUAUAUGUAAAUCCUACAACUGCGGAGUCACUAACUCUUUGGUAUACAUAAUUACAUAGCAAAUAAUUGUGGAACUAGGAAAAAUUUCUCUGUUGCCCUCCGCCGAAGGAACAUAACCUAAAUCGGAUUAAAGAAGAACUUACUUCCUGAAACAUCAAACAAGAUAUGUGAGCCUUUUAAGAAAUAAUACCUAUUGCACCGCACACGCAUUCACACAAAUGAAUAAAUAUAUCAAUCUAGUCAUCCGACUAGUUAUAUGCUCACGCAGUCAGUCACACAAAUGGCAUAUCAUUAACACCCACAAUCAUUAACAUCUUCAUGUAAUCACAUCACGUGGAAAUUNNNN
rnacentral:lncRNA from 1 species